AAGACUUUACUAAUCUCAGGGAUCAUUUCUAGAGUUCAUUACCAGAGAAGUUUCUCUUGAUUGUGUAUAGCUCCCGAAACCAUGAGUCAGAACCUGGGCAUGAGGCCGGUUCUAGGUGUCCUAGCUUUUACACCUGUCUUUUACCCCUGAUGAUCAUUCUGCUCUUCCCUUGGAAGAGUGAGACGGAGACAAUGUGGUCUUAGUGGU